rnacentral:rRNA from 1 species
AGAGUUUGAUCCUGGCUCAGAAUGAACGCUGGCGGCGUGCUUAACACAUGCAAGUCGUACGAGAACGCUUCAGCUUGCUGAAGCUAGUAAAGUGGCGUACGGGUGAGUAACGCGUGGGUAAUCUACCUUCGAAUUGGGGAUAACGUUGCGAAAGUGACGCUAAUACCGGAUAAUAUCAUAGAGACCUUGGUUUUUAUGAUCAAAGAUGGCCUCUCCUUGGAAGCUAUUGUUUGGAGAUGAGCCCGCGUCCCAUUAGCUUGUUGGUGGGGUAAUGGCCUACCAAGGCAACGAUGGGUAGCUGGUCUGAGAGGAUGAUCAGCCACACUGGAACUGACACACGGUCCAGACUCCUACGGGAGGCAGCAGUGAGGAAUUUUGCGCAAUGGGGGAAACCCUGACGCAGCAACGCCGCGUGAGUGAUGAAGGCUUUCGGGUCGUAAAGCUCUGUCAAGUGGGAAGAACUCCCGUGAGGUUAAUACCCUCAUGGUUUGACGGUACCACUGAAGGAAGCACCGGCUAACUCCGUGCCAGCAGCCGCGGUAAUACGGGGGGUGCAAGCGUUAUUCGGAUUUACUGGGCGUAAAGCGCGCGUAGGCGGCCGUUUAAGUCAGAUGUGAAAGCCCGGGGCUCAACCCCGGAAGUGCAUUUGAUACUAUUCGGCUUGAGUAUGGGAGAGGGAAGUGGAAUUCCUGGUGUAGAGGUGAAAUUCGUAGAUAUCAGGAGGAACACCGGUGGCGAAGGCGACUUCCUGGACCAAUACUGACGCUGAGGCGCGAAGGCGUGGGUAGCAAACAGGAUUAGAUACCCUGGUAGUCCACGCAGUAAACGGUGAUCACUAGGUGUAGCGGGUAUUGACCCCUGCUGUGCCGCAGCUAACGCAUUAAGUGAUCCGCCUGGGGAGUACGGCCGCAAGGUUAAAGCUCAAAGGAAUUGACGGGGGCCCGCACAAGCGGUGGAGCAUGUGGUUUAAUUCGACGCAACGCGAAGAACCUUACCUGGACUUGACAUCACGGGAAUUUCUAUGAAAGUAGGAAGUGCCCUUCGGGGAGCCCGAUGACAGGUGCUGCAUGGCUGUCGUCAGCUCGUGACGUGAGAUGUUGGGUUAAGUCCCGCAACGAGCGCAACCCCUAUCUUUAGUUACCAGCACUUCGGGUGGGGACUCUAAAGAUACUGCCCCGGUCAACGGGGAGGAAGGUGGGGAUGACGUCAAGUCCUCAUGGCCCUUAUGUCUGGGGCUACACACGUGCUACAAUGGUAGGUACAGAGGGCAGCGAGCCAGUGAUGGUUAGCGAAUCCC